UCAUUUCCUCUUAUCCCUGUGUAUUAAUUAACCCAGUUUCAGAACUGAGGAAACUGCAACUCAGAAAGGUCAGAUAGCCACUGGCUCCAUGAAGAGUCAGGAAGCUGGUGACAAAGAAAUCGGAGGGCUGGAGGGUAAAAGCAGGCGAAGGUGAUACUCAGAGGAGAAGGACACUGGAGAAGUCAGUCCUGAACCCACCAAUGAGGCUUGCCCUCUCUCACCUGCUGCCAUGUAAGAUGUGCCUGCUUCACCUUCCGCCAUGAUUGUCAGUUUCCUGAGGCCUCCCCAGCCAUGUGGAACUCUCUGUCUUUUCCAGAAUAUCAUAUAAAUGGAAUCACACGAUAGGCAGCCUUUUGAGUCUGGCUUCUUUGACUGAACAGAAUGCAUUCAAGAACACCUGGCCCCUUUCCUAUGAAGAUACCCCAAGGUCUCAUCCAAGCAAUGCACCUAACUCAACAUCGAGGAUUACUGGGUGAAAUAUACCCCUCUCUGUUCCAUCUAGAUGUGGCUUCUUGUGAUCCGGGGACUGACAUUAACAAGGGUACUGGUCUUGGGAUAAGAAAUGAGAAUCUACCCAGAUCCUCUCCGGAAAAUCUGUUUUAUAAUUCCCUAAAGCUACAAUUACAUGCAAACUGGAUUCUUGAAAUAAAACACAAUUGAAUUUAAAUGACAUCUACAUGAAACCCAAUAACUCGAUUACAUUGUUUUAAUGUUCUUAAUGUGGUCAAAGGCAGCCCAUGGCUUUAUCAUCAAUUAGGUAAGCUUUUGAGGGAAAUUCUGAAAAAUGGCAAGUCCUCACGUGUGGACUGACAACUGAGCAAUUUGCCUGCUGUGCUUCAGAAAGAGAGGCCAGCUCUGUGAGGUGCUGUCGAAAUGACUGAAAACCACCCACUGCGGAUUUCUACUUCCCUCUAUGAAAACCAGCCUUCUCAGGGAUUAUCACCGCCAAUAAGAGGGGAAAAUUGCCUGCACAGUUGGUGAUUGUGGUUAACUGGUCAGGGAGGCUUCACGUACUGGCUCUUGGAAAAUUCAUAGGCAUACAAAGAUGCCAAGUGACAGGAGGAGGCUGGGGCAACCUGUGACAAAGGAGAACACAGCCACUUCUUCUACAGCAAGUCUGUGUAGAGCACCUAUUAUGCUUGAAACGCCCUUUCAAAAAAGCACAUUUCAGUCAAAAGAAUAAUGCUCUGACUUCUAAAAGCACCAAAUGUUAAUUUUCAAGGAACCAUGCCUCUUUUCCUUUGAUUAGAUCAGAAAAAAAUUGUACGUAUCUGUAAAAUUUAAGAAUGUCUGACCAAAUAAAAAAAUCUAUAAUUAUUUUUGGUUUUUAAUAUUUCCUCAUUUUUGUUUAUGUGACUAAAUAUUGAUAUAAAGGUUACAAUCAGAAUGGAUAUAAUAAUUUGUAAUUCUUGGCUUAACAAUAUAGUUAGGAUAUUUUCUCUGCUUUUUUAAUGUUGUCAUUAUUAAUGAAUGUGUAACAGCUUGUCUAUUUGAGGUACCUGAUAUAGAAAUUUAUAAAACUUUUGGUUAUUUCUAAUUGUGGAUACUAAAAUCUAAAAUAUGGUCACUGUUCGUAAUUGUUUACCAUCAUGGAUAAUAGUUAAUGCAGUUUUUUUCUUCUACAUAAUUCUCAAGAUAAAAUUCUGGGAUGGGAAUUACUGAGGUAUAAGGCAUGAACCUUGUCUGUUGGAUCCUCAAACAACUUCUCGCAGACUGUGCACAGCACAAGUCCAAGGGAUACUAUUCACAAAGCUCCUUUCACCCAAAACUGUAUGUUGUGGACAGCACCCUCGGCUUGACCCGCCACGACCUGACCGUGCAUAGCCACCCAGCAACCCAUCUUGAAAUAUCAGCCUACUGUUAAGUUGCUUUUUCAAAGAUUAGCCCAAAGAAUUUCAAGGAAAAAAGAGAAAAUCCCAGUCUCCUGCUUAAGUUAUUGUUUAAGGAGUUAAUUAGGGAUACAAGGACAGAAUAUUUAAUAGCAAUAAAUUAAAAUAGGGCAUUUCACUAUAAAAACCAGGGGUAGUUAACAGUAUAAUACUUAAGAUGCAUUUCUUCAGGAAAAUUAGGC
rnacentral:lncRNA from 1 species